rnacentral:rRNA from 1 species
GAUGAACGCUGGCGGCGUGCCUAAUACAUGCAAGUCGAGCGACCAGACGAGGAGCUUGCUCUUCUGCCGUUAGCGGCGGACGGGUGAGUAACACGUGGAUCACCUUCUUCUAUUACUGGGAUAACUUCGGGAAGAUGGAGCUACUACUGGAUCAUAUAAUCUACGGCAUGGUUCAGUAGUGCUUGACGCUUUUCCUGUCUCAUUUAGACGGAUUCGCGCCGCAUUAGCUAGUUGGUAAGGUAACGGCUUACCAAGGCUACGAUGCGUAGCUGACCUGAGAGGAUGAUCAGCCACACUGGAACUGAGACACGGUCCAGACUCCUACGGGAGGCAGCAGUGGGGAAUAUUCGGCAAAGGGCGAAAGCCUGAUGCAGCAAUACCGCGUGGGUGAAGAAGGUCUUCGGAUCGUAAAGCUCUUUUGUUGGGAAAGAACAGCAGUAGGUUAAUACAUCGAUGUUUUGACGGUACCUAAAGAAAAAGCAACGGCUAACUUCGUG